AGGAUGCCUAGGUUCUCAGAGGCGAUGAAGGACGUGCUAAGCUGCGAAAAGCUACGGGGAACUGCACAGAAGUAUUGAUCCGUAGAUAUCCGAAUGGGGCAACCCGGCAGGUUGAAGACCUGUCACCGAGAGGAGCAAACCCGGGGAACUGAAACAUCUAAGUACCCGGAGGAAGAGAAAACAAUAGUGAUUCCGCAAGUAGUGGCGAGCGAACGCGGACUAGCCCAAACCCAAGUAGUUACGGCUGCUUGGGGGUUGUAGGACUGUGAUGUGGACUGUACAAACGAACUGGAAUGAUUUGGGAAAAUCAGUCAGAGAGGGUGAGAGCCCCGUACAGGUAAAGUUGUACUACCUAACAGUAUCCUGAGUAGGGCGGAACCGGAGAAAUUCCGUCUGAAUUUGCCAGCACCAUCUGGUAAGGCUAAAUACUCCUGAGAAACCGAUAGUGAACCAGUACCGUGAGGGAAAGGUGAAAAGUACCCUGAGUAAGGGGGUGAAAUAGAACCUGAAACCGUGCGCUUACAAGCGGUCGGAGCCCAUGAGUUGGGUGACGGCGUGCCUUUUGCAUAAUGAGCCUACGAGUUACCAUAUAUAGCGAGAUUAAGGGUUAGAGGCCUGUAGUCGGAGCGAAAGCG
rnacentral:rRNA from 1 species